rnacentral:misc_RNA from 1 species
UUUCCGUAGGUGAACCUGCGGAAGGAUCAUUAUUGAAUGAAACACUUCUGGCUUUAUGCUGUUGUGCUGGCCCUUUGGGCAAUGUGCACACGGCUCUGGUCACUUGUUUCUUCUGUUCCACUUGUGCACUGCCUGUAGACACGCUGUGUCUAUGAUAUUUGUUAACACACAACAAUGUUAGUUGGCAUGUUAUAUAUAAUAAUAAAAUAUACAACUUUCAACAACGGAUCUCUUGGCUCUC